rnacentral:lncRNA from 13 species
GUCAGUCUUUCUGAACGGAUGACCUCCAGAGCCCUUUUUAUAUGAGCUCUGUCUGUGCCUUUGUGGCGGACGAGGUGCAGAGCUGCUUCCAGCCCCCUGCAGCCACCCUACCAGUCCCCCCUGUCCUCGGGGUGGCCGUUUCAACCACACUACCAGCUGACAUCCAAGCAGGUGAGUAGCACUGAUAGAGAGCACUCUGACAGAUGCAUGUUCUGAUGACCACUUUGUUCCUUGUAGUAGUAGAGCUCAUCAGGAAUGUUGUUGUCACCCAUAACACAGACCCGGCUUCUUCCCACCUCGAGGUUGUAGACAUCACCCCUAACACAGAGGCAGAUCAGGCUUCUUUCCACCUGGAGGUUGUGGACAUCACCCGUAAGACAGAGGCAGACCCGGCAUCUUCCCACCUGGAGGUUGAGGACAUCACCACUAACACAGAGGCAGACCCGGCAUCUUCUAGCCUGGAGGUUGUGGACAUCACCAGUAACACAGAGGCAGAUCAGGCUUCUUCCCACCUGGAUUUUGUGGACAUCACCAGUAACACAGAGGCAGAUCCGGCUUCUUCCCACCUGAAUGUUGUGGACAUCGCCUCUAAUACAGAGGCAGAUCCGGCUUCUUCCCACCUGAAUGUUGUGGACAUAACCCCUAAUACAGAGGCAGAGCCCAUCUCUUCCCUCUUGGAGGUUGUGGACGUCACACCUGAAGAAAGGACUCUCACGAUGGCCGUCUCCGCCACUCUGCCAGCUGACAUCCAAGCAGAGGAUGUUGCUGUGGUCAUCCCGGAUGUCACCCCACACGUCACCAAGGACGUGACACUGGAUGUUCCAUGCAGAGCUAGGAAAGGGGCAGUCCGGCGAUUAUUUUGCAGGCUUUGGAGGGCAGUGUGCUGCUGCGCCUGCCACAAGGAAUAGGAGGAACAAUGUUAAUUAUUCAUCAGACCUUCAGAAAUGGGAUUGAACCAUAGA